rnacentral:miRNA from 1 species
UAAUCUCAGCUAGUAAUUAUGA